AGACCGAUAGCGAACAAGUACCGUGAGGGAAAGAUGAAAAGCACUUUGGAAAGAGAGUCAAACAGUACGUGAAAUUGUUGAAAGGGAAACGAUUGAAGUCAGUCGUGCCUGCCUAGAUUCAGCCUUCUGGUGUAUUUCUAGGUCGGCAGGUCAGCAUCAGUUUGGGAGGGUUAACAAGGGGAUUAGGAAUGUAGCAACCUCGGUUGUGUUAUAGCCUAGUUUCGUAUUGAUCUUGCUGGACUGAGGAACGCAGUGCGCCCGCAAGGGUAGGUCUUCGGACACUUUCGCACUUAGGAUGCUGGCAUAAUGGCUUUAAACGACCCGUCUUGAAACACGGACCAAG
rnacentral:rRNA from 1 species